rnacentral:tRNA from 1 species
GUCGCCGUAGCUCAACUGGCUAGCAGCAGCUGCCUCGUAAGCAGCAGGUUGUGGGUUCGAAUCCCACCGGCGGCC